rnacentral:rRNA from 1 species
GAAAGGGAAUACGGUUCCAAUUCCGUAACCUGUUGAGUAUCCGUUUGUUAUUAAAUAUGGGCCUCGUGCUCAUCCUGGCAACAGGAACGACCAUAAAGAAGCCGUCGAGAGAUAUCGGAAGAGUUUUCUUUUCUGUUUUAUAGCCGUACUACCAUGGAAGUCUUUCGCAGAGAGAUAUGGUAGAUGGGCUAGAAGAGCAUGACAUAUACUGUUGUGUCGAUAUUUUCUCCUCGGACCUUGAAAAUUUAUGGUGGGGACACGCAAACUUCUCAACAGGCCGUACCAAUAUCCGCAGCUGGUCUCCAAGGUGAAGAGUCUCUAGUCGAUAGAAUAAUGUAGGUAAGGGAAGUCGGCAAAUUAGAUCCGUAACUUCGGGAUAAGGAUUGGCUCUGAAGAUUGAGAUAGUCGGGCUUGAUUGGGAAACAAUAACAUGGUUUAUGU